rnacentral:lncRNA from 1 species
AUCAAUGUCUGCUAUGUGCCGUUGUCAUCAUCUCACAGCUGUACUUAUCGUCAGCAGAGGCCCUAGGAAGCUGACCAGCAGAGCAUCAGUACGCAACAGCGGAAUGUGGUCAUGAUGGCUGAGGAUAGAGGUGGAACAGGUGCCAUGCUGCUAUCACAAGACGGAGACCACAUACUCUAAGAAUGCUGAACAGAAAAAUAAAAGGAGUCUGAGUCCCUGAUGACAUAAUAGAGCUACCAUAACCACCAUGGAUAUUGUCUAGGUGCUUUGUAAUAUAAAAA